GACGAACGCUGGCGGCGUGCUUAACACAUGCAAGUCGAACGGUGAAGGUGGAGCUUGCUCCGCCGGAUCAGUGGCGAACGGGUGAGUAACACGUGGGCAACCUGCCCCAGACUCUGGGAUAACUCCUCGAAAGAGGCGCUAAUACCGGAUACGAACUCCUUGGGCAUCCUUGGAGUUGGAAAGUUUUUCGGUCUGGGAUGGGCCCGCGGCCUAUCAGCUUGUUGGUGAGGUAACGGCUCACCAAGGCGACGACGGGUAGCCGGCCUGAGAGGGCGUCCGGCCACACUGGGACUGAGACACGGCCCAGACUCCUACGGGAGGCAGCAGUGGGGAAUAUUGCGCAAUGGGCGAAAGCCUGACGCAGCAACGCCGCGUGAGGGAUGACGGCCUUCGGGUUGUAAACCUCUUUCAGCAGGGAAGAAGCGAAAGUGACGGUACCUGCAGAAGAAGCACCGGCUAACUACGUGCCAGCCGCCGCCGUAAAAC
rnacentral:rRNA from 1 species